rnacentral:rRNA from 1 species
UCUGCCCGCUGGCGGCGUGCCUAAUACAUGCAAGUCGAGCGAACGGACGAGAAGCUUGCUUCUCUGAUGUUAGCGGCGGACGGGUGAGUAACACGUGGAUAACCUACCUAUAAGACUGGGAUAACUUCGGGAAACCGUAGCUAAUACCGGAUAAUAUUUUGAACCGCAUGGUUCAAAAGUGAAAGACGGUCUUGCUGUCACUUAUAGAUGGAUCCGCGCUGCAUUAGCUAGUUGGUAAGGUAACGGCUUACCAAGGCAACGAUGCAUAGCCGACCUGAGAGGGUGAUCGGCCACACUGGAACUGAGACACGGUCCAGACUCCUACGGGAGGCAGCAGUAGGGAAUCUUCCGCAAUGGGCGAAAGCCUGACGGAGCAACGCCGCGUGAGUGAUGAAGGUCUUCGGAUCGUAAAACUCUGUUAUUAGGGAAGAACAUAUGUGUAAGUAACUGUGCACAUCUUGACGGUACCUAAUCAGAAAGCCACAGCUAACUACGUG